rnacentral:misc_RNA from 1 species
AACAUUACCUAACGACCUAUUUAAUAAAUUGUAGGAUUGUUUGGGGAAUGGAAAAUGUACGGUUGCACCCUAUUUGGUGUAUUAUUAAGAUCAUUUAGGAAAAAUCAUUCGACAAAUGGUGACUGUAUGGUUGUUGACUAUGCGGGUUGUGUACAUAAAUGGCGUGAGCAUUGCACACUGAAGAUAAAAAUUACGACCAAAAUGUGUCGAUCCGACACAUUGGAUGUGUACACCGUGUUGUUUUGAAAUCGAUGUGUCGAUUCUACACAUUGCGCUGGUUUUUGCUCAAAAAGCCAUUCAAUGUGUAAACUGUCCUUUUGCCUGAUUCAUCAAAGUUGCCGUUGGGUGUCGCCACUAGUCUGGGACUUAGAAAUAAAUAUUAGCGAAAAAAAAACAUGCGGUUUGUUUGCUAGCGGAAUAUUUGUGAUUUUAUUUCAAUUAUUUCGUGUAAAACUGGCACACAAAUGUGAAAAUGGAGGCUUGAUAAAAUUUGUCUUCCGGACUGGAAAUACGACUUGUGGCCACUGACAAGAAGAACCAUCCUGUGCUGACGCUGGUAGAGAAGCAAAUUGUUCCCGUGCGCAAAAUGCCCAUUUCGCACCGUCGCUCUUCAUCCAACUCAGAUAGCUCCAGAAAAGAUGAUUUAUCCGACUCGGGCUCGAAUUCCAGCUUAAGCAGUUCGUCGCGGACUCGUCUUCGCGGCGGCGACGAAAAAAAGGCGACACGGUCCGACAACGGCGCGGUUCGAGUUCCAGCUCGGAUGACGCAGGUGGCGAAGAAAGAUCAAGCUGAUAAAGAAGCAAGUGGAAGCGGAUGGAAUGAAGCGGAUCGUGACGAAGAAGGUGCAGCUCCAGUCCGCGGGAGACGAGCCACCUGCGGGAUGUGUCCCCUGGGGGGAAAGUUGGCACCGUGAAGUAGGUGAUCGCGGUGGAGAAGCACAUGCUAGCAGCUGUGGUUGAUGCGGGAGCGUGUUUGCUAGAAGGAACGGGAAGCGCGAGUUGGCGAUUGAGGAGAAGAUUUCGUUGCGGAAGAAUCGCUCGCCUAAGUCGCGAUGUCACCGCGGGGAUCUUCCUGAGGCCGAGAAUUUCUUAAGAAAAAUCGCCGGGUCGCCGGAACCGGUUGCUCGCUAUCGCAAUGCUCCGGACACCGUUGUUUGAAGAACGGAGCGUUCUCCGGAUCUUCGGCUGGACGAUCUUCGUGGACGGAAUUUUUAAAAGAUCGUGAUCAGAGACUUCGUGAGCGAGAGUUGUCCCGAAUGGGAGGAAGCGUUGACCAGGUGUCGAGAGAGACAGCGUGAACAGGACCGGUUGAAGAGUGCUGGGAAGGAUCGUGAUCGUGCAGUUCCACCACCAACACCGAGUUCCGGUACUGGAUCUGUAAGUCAAGGUCGCGAUUUGGAUGAAGGUUUGGACAAACCUAAUCAACAUCGGGAUGUGGCGUCCGCCGCCUCGCGGCAUCAUCGUAGAGUCAAAAUGAAGAGCCAGCAUUGCGUGGACAGCCUGGGCUGUCAUAACGAACAGCUGGACGAGUGGAAGAAGCGAUUCAAGUAGCGGAAGAAGAGAAAGUGUAGCAGCUGCUGGAAAGAUGGGGGCAAGCGCUAAUCCCGAAUAUGUCAGAGGACUGGUGGUCUCAGCGUAUGAAUCGAUGCCGAUGCAUCGGGGACGAGGAAUCUUCGAUAACGGCAGCUUGGCGUCCCGGAGUCGGGGGCGAGGCGUGGCGAGAAGCGGAACCGAAGAAAGAAAGGUUAACGCAUCCGAAUCGACGGAAGUACCAGAAGAUUCAGAGCAUGGAAAGCGGGCGAUGAAGAGCUGCCCUGCGGCUACCAACGACAUCAUCAAGCUGGGUUUCCCGCUCGCUGCCAAUCACGCUAAGGGUCAACUAAUUGGAUGUCUGGCCGUGACAUGGUUAGUGCUGCUCAAAUUGGUUUGGGGAAAGUCUGCUGCUGGUGCUGGCUCCGACGCGUGAACUCGCCAAGAAUUUCCCGAAGGUAGUACGUGACUUGGACAUGCACAACUCGUGCAACUUUGGCGGCGAGUUGGAAGGACCGCUGGUUCGUGACAUGGAACGCGGCGUUGAGGAGCACAAUCCUGUGCACGUACUCGUCGAAGCCGAUCCGCAAGAUAAGCCUGUAGGCGAUGCACAAUAUUCUUCAAAUCGUGUCCAGCAGCAAGCUGCUAUCUUUUCUGAGGAUCGGUUGCUGAAGACGGGUUCAGAGUUACGUCACACCCGGCCCACGGCUCACGCCCGGAUCGCAGCUCUGCCUGGAAGAAAGUGUCGACCUGACCAACAGUCGGGAGGUUAACCACGAUCGCGAGUCUUCCUUUUCGUCAACAAACACCAAGCACAGCGAGGAUAUCAGUGACAAACUGUUAUGUAUUAUAAAUUACAUUUAAUUCUUUGUUUGAAUAAAAUACAAAAAUCCAGUCUAA